rnacentral:lncRNA from 1 species
AUCAGCUUCACUACGCACCAGCUUUGAGCAUACUCCAGUAGCUUGGAAAAAGCACAGCUACUUGGGAAAAUGCAGGGCUGCCUUCUAAAGAAAGAGAGGAUGGGAAGGGACUGCUAAACAUGAAGAAACUUCCUGCAAAGCCACCAGACUGGAAAAAGAGCCCCUGGGGAAAGUCUGUCUUUCCUCAUGGUAAGGAUGAUCUUCAAGGAAGUCCUUCGGACUCUGGGCUUCAUCAGACAAUGCAGACCAAAACAAGUGUCAGAGCUGGAAGAGAGAAGGAAAGUCAGUGUUCUUAAUGGUCCCCAGAAUUACAAGGCUGCUCAGUUACAUCUCUUGGACUGACACCAAAGACAGAUGAGGUGAAGGGAUCCAAAAGAAUGAUUCUGUGCAUCCGAGUGUUCUAAAUUUCUUCCCCUGUUUUCUCAGAGUGACAACAUGAAACUUUCUGCCUUGGCCUGCCUUAAAUAAGAACAUUGCCACUCAUCUUUUAUGAAUUAUUUUUAAUGAAUGCCA